rnacentral:rRNA from 1 species
UACGAAGGGGGCUAGCGUUGCUCGGAAUCACUGGGCGUAAAGCGCACGUAGGCGGAUUGCUAAGUCAGGGGUGAAAUCCUGGAGCUCAACUCCAGAACUGCCUUUGAUACUGACGGUCUUGAGUCCGGGAGAGGUGAGUGGAACUCCGAGUGUAGAGGUGAAAUUCGUAGAUAUUCGGAAGAACACCAGUGGCGAAGGCGGCUCACUGGCCCGGUACUGACGCUGAGGUGCGAAAGCGUGGGGAGCAAACAGG